rnacentral:rRNA from 1 species
AUUGAACGCUGGCGGCAGGCCUAACACAUGCAAGUCGAACGAGUGGCGGACGGGUGAGUAAUGUCUGGGAAACUGCCUGAUGGAGGGGGAUAACUACUGGAAACGGUAGCUAAUACCGCAUACCAUCGGAUGUGCCCAGAUGGGAUUAGCUAGUAGGUGGGGUAAAGGCUCACCUAGGCGACGAUCCCUAGCUGGUCUGAGAGGAGGACCAGCCACACUGGAAGUGAGACAGGGGCCAGACUCCAACGGGGGGAGGCGGUGGGGAAUAUUGCACAAUGGGCGCAAGCCUGAUGCAGCCAUGCCGCGUGUAUGAAGAAGGCCUUCGGGUGUUAAAGUACUUUCAGCGGGGAGGCGUUACCCGCAGAAGAAGCACCGGCUAACUCCGUGCCAGCAGCCGCGGUAAUAC